rnacentral:rRNA from 1 species
AUGGAGGGCGGCGAGGACCCGCCCACGCGCCUCGUUGGGGACUUCCUCCGGCACCAAGCCGUCGACCUCGACCUGGAGAUGGAGGAGCUCGAGAGGCCGUCGCAGGGUGUUCGGCGUGUCUUCUUCGAGGACGAACACCAAAAACACGUCUCCUCCGACUCCGACGCGGGCGGCACUGCAAAUCCACCUCCAUGGCAAGGGGACCAUUAUUCUGAGCACAGAUGCGCUCCCGGCUCAUGGACCCGCCCCCGCCCAUGGCAGCUCCUGUCGUCGACAAGAAGCACAAAUUGUCCGCCUCACGGUCGUCUAAGCCCGGUCAGUCUCCUGCGUGGCGCUGGUUGGGUCCGAUGGAUGGGAGGAGGAGGACCCAUUUGUGGACGAGGACAUCCCCGACGACUUUAA